ACCCGCACAAGUGGUGGAGCAUGUGGUUUAAUUCGAAGAUACACGAAGAACCUUACCUGGCCUUGACAUGGUAGGAACCCUUAAGAGAUUAGGGGGUGCUAGCUUGCUAGAACCUACACACAGGUGCUGCACGGCUGUCGUCAGCUCGUGUCGUGAGAUGUUGGGUUAAGUCCCGCAACGAGCGCAACCCUCGUCGUUAGUUGCUAACAGUUUGGCUGAGCACUCUAACGAGACUGCCUUCGUAAGGAGGAGGAAGGUGAGGACGACGUCAAGUCAUCAUGGCCCUUACGGCCAGGGCUACACACGUGCUACAAUGGGGCGUACAAAGAGCUGCAAUACCGCGAGGUGGAGCCAAUCUCUUAAAGCGUCUCUCAGUUCGGAUUGUUCUCUGCAACUCGAGAACAUGAAGCUGGAAUCACUAGUAAUCGUAGAUCAGCUAUGCUACGGUGAAUACGUUCCCGGGUCUU
rnacentral:rRNA from 1 species